UACGUAGGGUGCGAGCGUUGUCCGGAAUUACUGGGCGUAAAGGGUGUGUAGGUGGCGCCGUAAGUCGGGUGUGAAAUUUCGGAGCUUAACUCCGAAACUGCAUUCGAUACUGCGGUGCUUGAGGACUGGAGAGGAGACUGGAAUUCAUGGUGUAGCAGUGAAAUGCGUAGAGAUCAUGAGGAAGACCAGUGGCGAAGGCGGGUCUCUGGACAGUUCCUGACACUGAGACACGAGGCCAGGGGAGCAAACGGG
rnacentral:rRNA from 1 species